AGCGAACGCUGGCGGCAGGCCUAACACAUGCAAGUCGAACGAACCUUUCGGGGUUAGUGGCGGACGGGUGAGUAACACGUGGGAACGUGCCUUUAGGUUCGGAAUAACUCAGGGAAACUUGUGCUAAUACCGAAUGUGCUCUUCGGGGGAAAGAUUUAUCGCCUUUAGAGCGGCCCGCGUCUGAUUAGCUAGUUGGUUGAGGUAAUGGCUCACCAAGGCGACGAUCAGUAGCUGGUCUGAGAGGAUGAUCAGCCACAUUGGGACUGAGACACGGCCCAAACUCCUACGGGAGGCAGCAGUGGGGAAUCUUGCGCAAUGGGCGAAAGCCUGACGCAGCCAUGCCGCGUGAAUGAUUAAGGUCUUAGGAUUGUAAAAUUCUUUCACCGGGGACGAUAAUGACGGUACCCGGAGAAGAAGCCCCGGCUAACUUCGUG
rnacentral:rRNA from 1 species